CCUACGGGUGGCAGCAGUGGGGAAUAUUGCACAAUGGGGGGAACCUUGAUGCAGCAACGCCGCGUGGGUGAAGAAGUACUCCGGUAUGUAAAGCCCUGUCAGCAGGGAAGAAAAUGACGGUACCUGACCAAGAAGCCCCGGCUAACGACGGGCCAGCAGCCGCGGUAAUACGUAGGGGGCAAGCGUUAUCCGGCUUUACUGGGUGUAAAGGGAGCGUAGACGGGAAGGCAAGUCUGGAGUGAAAGCCCGUGGCACAACCACGGGACUGCUUUGGAAACUGUGUUGCUGGAGUGCAGGAGGGGUAAGCGGAAGUCCUAGUGGAGCGGUGAAAUGCGUAGAUAUUAGGAGGAACACCGGUGGCGAAGGCGGCUUACUAAACUGUGACUGACAUUGAUGCUCGAAAGUGUGGGUAUCAAACAGGAUUAGAUACCCUUGUAGUC
rnacentral:rRNA from 1 species